rnacentral:rRNA from 1 species
UUGGAGGGCAAGUCUGGUGCCAGCAGCCGCGGUAAUUCCAGCUCCAAUAGCGUAUAUUAAAGUUGUUGCAGUUAAAAAGCUCGUAGUUGAAUUUCGGGAUUAGUGCGCCGGUCGUGCCUCCGGUAUGUACUGGUGUUACUGGUUCCUACCUUCUGACGAACCGUCAUGUCAUUAAUUUGGUGUGGCGGGGAAUCAGGACUGUUACUUUGAAAAAAUUAGAGUGUUUAAAGCAGGCUCGCGCUUGAAUACAUUAGCAUGGAAUAAUGAAAUAGGACGAUCGAUCCUAUUUUGUUGGUUUCUAGGAUUGACGUAAUGAUUAAUAGGGAUAGUUGGGGGCAUUAGUAUUCAAUUGUCAGAGGUGAAAUUCUUGGAUUUAUUGAAGACUAACUACUGCGAAAGCAUUUGCCAAGGAUGUUUUCAUUAAUCAAGAACGAAAGUUAGGGGAUCGAAGACGAUCAGAUACCGUCGUAGUCUUAACCAUAAACUAUGCCGACUAGGGAUCGGAUGAUGUUAAUUUUUUAAUGACUCAUUCGGCGCCUUACGGGAAA